rnacentral:pre_miRNA from 1 species
UCUUAUGAAUGAGCAAAGAAAGUGGUUUCUUGAGAUAAGACGGAAUCCACUCCUGGUGAAGAUGGUGUGAA